UAGGGAAUCUUCCACAAUGGACGCAAGUCUGAUGGAGCAACGCCGCGUGAGUGAAGAAGGUUUUCGGACCGUAAAGCUCUGUUGUUGGUGAAGAAGGAUAGAGGUAGUAACUGGCCUUUAUUUGACGGUAAUCAACCAGAAAGUCACGGCUAACUACGUGCCAGCAGCCGCGGUAAUCGUAGGUGGCAAGCGUUGUCCGGAUUUAUUGGGCGUAAAGCGAGCGCAGGCGGAAGAAUAAGUCUGAUGUGAAAGCCCUCGGCUUAACCGAGGAAUUGCAUCGGAAACUGUUU
rnacentral:rRNA from 1 species